UCGAGCGAACAGAUAAGGAGCUUGCUCCUUUGACGUUAGCGGCGGACGGGUGAGUAACACGUGGAUAACCUACCUAUAAGACUGGGAUAACUUCGGGAAACCGGAGCUAAUACCGGAUAACAUAUUGAACCGCAUGGUUCAAUAGUGAAAGGCGGCUUUGCUGUCACUUAUAGAUGGAUCCGCGCCGUAUUAGCUAGUUGGUAAGGUAACGGCUUACCAAGGCAACGAUACGUAGCCGACCUGAGAGGGUGAUCGGCCACACUGGAACUGAGACACGGUCCAGACUCCUACGGGAGGCAGCAGUAGGGAAUCUUCCGCAAUGGGCGAAAGCCUGACGGAGCAACGCCGCGUGAGUGAUGAAGGUCUUCGGAUCGUAAAACUCUGUUAUCAGGGAAGAACAAAUGUGUAAGUAACUGUGCACAUCUUGACGGUACCUGAUCAGAAAGCCACGGCUAACUACGUGCCAGCAGCCGCGGUAAUACGUAGGUGGCAAGCGUUAUCCGGAAUUAUUGGGCGUAAAGCGCGCGUAGGCGGUUUUUUAAGUCUGAUGUGAAAGCCCACGGCUCAACCGUGGAGGGUCAUUGGAAACUGGAAAACUUGAGUGCAGAAGAGGAAAGUGGAAUUCCAUGUGUAGCGGUGAAAUGCGCAGAGAUAUGGAGGAACACCAGUGGCGAAGGCGACUUUCUGGUCUGUAACUGACGCUGAUGUGCGAAAGCGUGGGGAUCAAACAGGAUUAGAUACCCUGGUAGUCCACGCCGUAAACGAUGAGUGCUAAGUGUUAGGGGGUUUCCGCCCCUUAGUGCUGCAGCUAACGCAUUAAGCACUCCGCCUGGGGAGUACGACCG
rnacentral:rRNA from 1 species